GGCCAGGUGGCGGAACGGCAACGCAUGCGAGACAAAUAAGGAGCCAGUAAUGUUUCCUCGCAAGGUCUCCUCCGUUCGAUUCGGGGUCUGGCCU